UUCAAAUCUCUGUCAGCUGGAGAUCAUGAGUGCAAUUGGCUGGAGGCCCAAGUUCAAAAUUCCCCCCCACCCAGUGAGGAGGGACAGUAUAUCUGCUUUAAGUAUCUGCCUAAAGCAGCAGUCUGGCCAUGUUUUAGUAGAGAAACUGUCCUGUGCUGGGGGAUCCCUUCUGCCCUCAGUCAGCUUGGACUCUCCAAAGCCUGAAGGGUGGAAUGGCUAAGGUGGCCAAAUGGCAAAGAUGGCAGCCUGCCCCACACCCUGGUAGCUUAUUCUUAGGGAGCUGCAAUGCUGCUACAAUUGGCUGGUUGAAAUUGCAAGCCUGUAGGCCUUAUCUUGUGAGGUGCUGUGGAACUGGUGCCUGCAGGCUGUCACUGCUCAGCCUCCUGGAUUCAGCCUCUUUCCUAGGGGUAUGUAUGGGGGUGUAAUCUCCCAUUUUGCCAAAGCUGCAGCUACUUUUGACAGAAAUCCCGAGUAUCUAAGUCUCCAGGAUCUCCACGCAUGCCUGGGUGCCUGCUCUGCUGAGAAUCCACGUAGCUCUGUCUGUCAGACUGGAGGCUCUGAUGGAGUGGGUUCGCAAGAUCUCCUGUUACAAAGAUUCAUGGGAGAAGCAUGGUUUCCUGAGGUUGCACAUUCACUCACCACUUUCCUGGUUGGUGGAGGUUCCCCGGCUUCAUGUUGCUCUCAGCUCUGCAGGUGGAGAAGUACAAGAGGAAGGCUCCAGCAGAUGCAGUGUCUAGUGAGAGCACUCGUCCUGUUUGCAGAUGGCUCUUUCUCUCUCUCUCUCUCUCUCUCUCCCCCUCUCUCCCUCCCUCCCUCUCUCUCUCUCAUCUUUCCACCAACCAUGUGAAGAUACAAUGAGAAGAUACCAAGGAUAAGGGAUUUUCCCUAAACUGACUGUCCAAACUGGAUUCCACAAGGACCAAGAGGGAAGAUCAAGGCUGGACCUAAUCAAGCAGAGGACCUGUAAG
rnacentral:lncRNA from 10 species